GCUUACGGCCAUAUCACGUUGAGUGCACCGGUCCUUGUCCGAUCAUCUAAGUUAAGUGACGUUGAGCCUAGUUAGUACUAGGUGACUGUUUAGUAAAUCUAGGUACUGUAAGCA
rnacentral:rRNA from 1 species